rnacentral:lncRNA from 1 species
GACAUCUUUGGUUUAAGUAUAAGGUACAUGGUUAAACCUUUUUGCCAUAUCAACAACGUUAGCCACAUCAGCCUUUUUGUAAACUUUAGAGCUUUUAUAUUAUAAACUUUAGAGCUUUAGUUUUAUGUUAAUCUCUUAUUAUUAUAAUAUUUUAUGUCAAUGCUUUGUAAUUUUAUAUUAAUUUUAGUUGAGUUUUGCACCAUUAUUUAUUUAUAUCAGCUUAAUUUUUUUAUUUUUU